rnacentral:lncRNA from 1 species
CUUUGUCUGUCUCCGCCUUUUAUAUGUGACCAGUGUGAACACCACCAGCACCGUCACCAGGAGGACUGCUGCCAUGGCAACGGUAGCAGAGAUGAUAUUCUUCUGCAGGAAGCUCAGCAGCUGUCCGCACGGCAGACUCUCCCUGGAGGCACCUAGGUAGGAAGACACAAGAGCAGAAGCUAGAGGAGGCCUGAAUCCAUCCCUGACAGGUUGCAGAAUGUUUGUGCAAUCCACAAAGACCUAAACAAAAUGAGAAAAUGAACCACACCGAGAUAUCUACUGGCAAUCUCCAAACGACAUAACGCCCUUAGGAGAAAGAGGCAGGUUUGGAAAUGAGAAACCUUUGCAUUCCGGCUCUGCCUCUGGCUAUCCGUGACCCACGUGAGUAAGAGGGCUGGC